AUUGAACGCUGGCGGCAUGCUUUACACAUGCAAGUCGAACGGUAACAGGCCGCAAGGUGCUGACGAGUGGCGAACGGGUGAGUAAUGCAUCGGAACGUGCCCAGUCGUGGGGGAUAACUACUCGAAAGAGUAGCUAAUACCGCAUACGAUCUAUGGAUGAAAGGGGGGGACCGUAAGGCCUCGCGCGAUUGGAGCGGCCGAUGUCAGAUUAGGUAGUUGGUGGGGUAAAGGCUCACCAAGCCAACGAUCUGUAGCUGGUCUGAGAGGACGACCAGCCACACUGGGACUGAGACACGGCCCAGACUCCUACGGGAGGCAGCAGUGGGGAAUUUUGGACAAUGGGCGCAAGCCUGAUCCAGCAAUGCCGCGUGCAGGAAGAAGGCCUUCGGGUUGUAAACUGCUUUUGUACGGAACGAAACGGCUCUGGUUAAUACCCGGGGCUAAUGACGGUACCGUAAGAAUAAGCACCGGCUAACUACGUG
rnacentral:rRNA from 1 species